AGAGUUUGAUCAUGGCUCAGGACGAACGCUGGCGGCGCGCUUAACACAUGCAAGUCGAGCGAGAACCGGUCCUUCGGGACCGGGGAAAGCGGCGAACGGGUGAGUAACACGUGGGUAAUCCACCCUCGGCACCGGAAUAGCCCGGGGAAACCCGGAUUAAUGCCGGAUGGCCCAGCAGCUCUUCGGGGCGGCUGGAAAAGGUAGCUUUGGCCUCCGGCCGGGGACGAGCCCGCGGCGGAUUAGCUUGUUGGCGGGGUAACGGCCCACCAAGGCGACGAUCCGUAGCUGGUCUGAGAGGACGAUCAGCCACACUGGGACUGAGACACGGCCCAGACUCCUACGGGAGGCAGCAGUGGGGAAUCUUGCGCAAUGGGCGAAAGCCUGACGCAGCGACGCCGCGUGAGGGAAGAAGGCUUUCGGGUUGUAAACCUCUUUCAGGAGGGACGAAGCUACUCGGGUUAAUAGCCCAGAGGGUGACGGUACCUCCAGAAGAAGCCCCGGCUAACUACCGUGCCAGCAGCCGCGGUA
rnacentral:rRNA from 1 species